CGCGGCAACCCUGGGCCACAUCUCCAAACAGCUGGUAACCUCGGAGACUGAAGAUGUGCACAGCGUGUCCAGAGAUUUUUUUGUCGGUCUUUGAUUUUAUAGUGAUAUGUUGUGCAGCUUGUAAUUGCAGAUAUGGGCUCAAUAAUUCUUCACGUACAAAUGAGGACACACAAUACACAGGUGUUCCCUGCUGUAGGACUUAAUCUAGUCCUGAUGCUGAAUUUUCUAGAAUAUUCAAGUCCCUAGAGCUGAACUUCUGUACAAGAUGAAGAUCGGAGGAAGCUUCAGAUGCCCUAAUAGACAACCAUUAAUCUAGGAAUUCUAACAUGAAAGAAGAGAGCCGUAAUUCAAGAACUAUCGCCGUUCACGAUGUUAGCCGAUAGUUCAGCAUGAACUUACUGUGAGAUGAAUUACCCCUCACAAGGACGAAAUGACCACAAUAACAAGAAACGAGUAAUCAAACACACUACAGGAAGGAAAACUUGCAGGAAACAUCUAAAGCAGACGAGGUUGAAUCUAUAUUUUUCAUUAAUAAUUUACCAACUGCAGCGGGGCAUGCCGUUCUCUGAAAGGGUAUAAGAGUGCCGAGUGAAAUACUGGGAACUGCUUAGCGAAAAGAGGUGUCUUGUAAAUGGCGGAUGAGACCCUACAAGGAGAUCAGCGACGGCAAGAAUUUACAGUAACGGCGAUCCAAUGACAUGAAGUAUGCAGCUUUCUUUCUGUUCUGGUUCGGUGAAAAUCUGGAACAUGGGGUUGAAGUACAUGCUCUGUUUCAUUGUCGCAUGAACUAAAGAGAGACAUAUAUGUUAGUUCUUGGAUUUUUUAGCAGAUGAACGGACGUAAUGAAAACCGAAGAAAAACUAUCGAUGACUAAGUUAUCUAAGUAGAAAAAGCUCGAUAUUGGUACCCAGUAAGACACAACUGAAUGGUGAGUUGACGUCUGUACCGUCUCGACAUAACAGCUUUAGUCAGUAUCAGUCAGCAAAAGGAGUCAGUAAUCCAGCAACGGAGAAGUCAGUAUGGGAGCAGCUUGAGUCAGUUGUGGACAAUCUACUGAGAUGUCAGUAGUGGAGUGGCGACGGGUAUGCCAUACCUGUUGGCCUCGACAGGAGGUGGUUGUCCUCUUCGUCUGUUUGUGCGGUUUCGUCCCUGGCGGCAGCGUGUGGCUCUCUUGACGACAUAACUAAGUUCUUCUGUCGGUGUGACCACAUCUUGGAGUGGGAUUUCCUCCACUUUCGUCUGUGUUCGUAGCGUGUGACUGUUUUAACGAUGGGACCAUAAGCGCCUCAAUGGUGUGAUUGGUAUGGUCUUGGAAUGCCACCUCGAUGGCCGCGAGUUCGAUUCUCGAGCAUUCCAUUGAGGUGUGAGAGAUGUGUAUUUCUGGUGGUAGAAGUUCAUUCUCGACGUAUUUCGGAAGUCAAGUAAAGCCGUUGGUUCCGUUGGUGAAUAACCACUGGCUUCAUGUAACGUAAAAAUACCAUACAAACAAACAAACAAACGACUGGACCAUGAUCAUCUGUGUGACCUUGUCUUGAGAACGACCUCGUCAUGGAGGGUGGCCUCAUCCGUGAUCUGAAUCAUUGUGUGCCUAGGCAGUUGACCUGGGUUGUUAAUUUCAACCAUUUAUUGCAACUAAGUUGAUUCGGUAGCUUGCCUGUUUUUGCCACGGGUUAGUUAUGGUCUGUUAUGUUUAAUUGUAUGUGACAAGGCUGUCAUCACUUUAGUGCGAGCAAUUGUUAAACGUUUCGACGGGAGUUUUUCCACGGUUGUUAUUGAUUUCAGUUUUUUUGUUAAGUUCAUUUUGGAUUACUUUAUAUUAUCUAUCACUAGACUGAUUUGUUUAGUGUGCCUCAGAAAGCUGUGUUUUUCAAGCAUUUAGGACAAGUUGUUUUUCCUUGUGAUUUAAUUUACUCACUGACUAUGUUGUAAUUUAUUUUUCUGCUCAUGAUAUUUGUGACUUUUAGUUUACUGGCUUCUUUUGUAUAUAUGUAAACUAAGAUUGGUGAAUGUUAAACUAACAUUAAGGUUAUGUUUUGUAUUGUUUUGCUCCUUCCUCCUUUGUAUAAGUAUUUGAAAUAUACGAUAUAUACACCAAAUAAUAAAGUAAAAAGGAAUAUAUAUGUGAUUAAAAUAUGAAAUAACAAUAAACGGUCUAGUUCAAUCUCUCUGUGCUGACCACGUUUGUGUUUACCAUAUCCUAUGAGUGUAUGAACCAUAAUCAUGAAUGGAAGUUGCGGUGUGAAGCAGUUGCCAGGUGCCACCUAAGUAAAAAUAACAGUUGUAUCCAUCGACCAAUAUAUUCACCUCACGCAUACUCAGUCAUGAACUGUGGUAGUUAUUAGUGUAUUGAAUCAACAGGGUUUUAAUAAAAAAUAUGCAACCGGUCUCUAAUCGUUUUAUUUCCUGUAUUUUUCCAUCUAGAAAGUAACCAACAAGUCUUUUUUUACCUUUCUU